AUGCUGCAAGGAAGCUUCACUGGCGGCGCCCGAAGCACCCCGUCGCCGUCGCAGCCGCAUACGCCGCGGUGUUGCAAUGGAGCGGUCGGCGGCGGCUCCCGGUGCUGCUAUGCAGCGCUUGCGUGGCGGCCCGGAGCUAGGUGCUGCAAUGGUGCGUCACCGGCGGAGGCAAUGGAGCUUCACCUGCGAAGCCCAGAGCUGCGAAGGAGCGCUCGGAGCUACAAUGAAGCAUCACCGGCGAGCCCGCGAGCUGCUCUGCAGCGGGUGGUGCUGCGUUGGAGCUCCGCCGGGCUGCAAUGGAGCUCAGCCAGAGUUGCAAUGAAACUUCGCCGGAGCGUUGGUGCCGCGUUGGAACUCAUCGGACACCAUCGGUGCUUCAUAGGAGCUUCGCGCGAGGCUGCAAUGGCGCUGGGUUGA
rnacentral:rRNA from 1 species